UGAUUUUUAGUGUAAUGCUUUGAUUGGUGCUUGUUGUUUAUUUUUAUUCAUUGCAUUACAUGGUUGAAUGAUUUUUGGUGCAUUGAAUUUUUGUUUAUUUAAAAAAUAUUUUGAGGAAGAGGUGUUUGGGAAUUUCAAAUCUUUGAGAAAGGAGAUGAUUGAGAAUUGUUUUUUGGAGAGAAAGUUUUUUUUUGAAGAUUGUUUAAACGGGUCUUAUCUUCACAAUCAUAUUAAGUUAAAUUCAUAUUAAUUAUCGUCUUUACUCCACUAUUUAUUAUUUUGACGAUAAUUUAUUAU
rnacentral:lncRNA from 1 species